CCCUUAGAUGUUCUGGGCCGCACGCGCGCUACACUGAUGCAUUCAACGAGUCUAAAACCUGCUCUGAUAGGGGUGGGUAAUCUUUUGAAUGUGCAUCGUGAUUGGGAUAGAUGAUUGCAAUUUUUCAUCUUCAACGAGGAAUGCCUAGUAAACGCAAGUCAUCAGCUUGCAUUGAUUACGUCCCUGCCCUUUGCACACACCGCCCGUCGCUCCUACCGAUUGAAUGAUCCGAUGAAUAUCAUGGAUUGAGGAUGCAAGUAGGUUCGCCUAUCUUCAUCUUCGAGAAGUGAAGUAAAUCUUAUCAUUUAGAGGAAGGAGAAGUCGUAACA
rnacentral:rRNA from 1 species